rnacentral:rRNA from 1 species
UAUCGGAUUGAUACUAAGCCAUGCGAGUCAUUGUAGCAAUACAAGGCAUACGGCUCAGUAACGCGUAGUCAACCUAACCUAUGGACGGGAAUAACCUCGGGAAACUGAGAAUAAUGCCCGAUAGAACAUUAUGCCUGGAAUGGUUUAUGUUCCAAAUGAUUUAUCGCCGUAGGAUGGGACUGCGGCCUAUCAGUUUGUUGGUGAGGUAAUGGCCCACCAAGACUAUUACAGGUACGGGCUCUGAGAGGAGUAGCCCGGAGAUGGGUACUGAGACACGGACCCAGGCCCUAUGGGGCGCAGCAGGCGAGAAAACUUUGCAAUGUGCGAAAGCACGACAAGGUUAAUCCGAGUGGUUUCUGCUAAAGAAACCUUUUGUCAGUCCUAGAAACACUGAUGAAUAAGGGGUGGGCAAGU